CAGUCCAACGUUAAUCGGGGCUGGGUGAGUCGACCCCUAAGGCGAGGCCGAAAGGCGUAGUCGAUGGGAAAAUGGUUAAUAUUCCAUUACUUCUGUGUAAUGCGAUGAGAGGACGGAGAAGGCUAAAUCAGCCUGGCGUUGGUUGUCCAGGUGAAAGGAUGUAGGCAUGUAUCUUAGGCAAAUCCGGGGUACUCUAUGCUGAGAUCUGAUAGCAAGCUGUACUUGUACAGCGAAGUGGUUGAUGCCAUGCUUCCAGGAAAAGUCUCUAAGCUUCAGUUACACAGGAAUCGUACCCGAAACCGACACAGGUGGUCAGGUCGAGUAGACCAAGGCGCUUGAGAGAACUCUGCUGAAGGAACUAGGCAAAAUGGUACCGUAACUUCGGGAGAAGGUACGCUGUUGUUGGUGAUGGAACUCGCUUCCUGAGCUGACGACAGCCGCAGAAACCAGGCCGCUGCAACUGUUUAUUAAAAACAUAGCACUCUGCAAACACGAAAGUGGACGUAUAGGGUGUGAUGCCUGCCCGGUGCUGGAAGGUUAAUUGAUGGGGUUAGCGUAAGCGAAGCUCUUGAUCGAAGCCCCAGUAAACGGCGGCCGUAACUAUAACGGUCCUAAGGUAGCGAAAUUCCUUGUCGGGUAAGUUCCGACCUGCACGAAUGGCAUAAUGAUGGCGGCGCUGUCUCCAGCAGAGGCUCAGUGAAAUCGAAAUCGCUGUGAAGAUGCAGUGUACCCGCGGCUAGACGGAAAGACCCCGUGAACCUUUACUGCAGCUUGACACUGAACUUUGACCUUACUUGUGUAGGAUAGGUGGGAGGCUUUGAAGCUGGAACGCUAGUUCCAGUGGAGCCGUCCUUGAAAUACCACCCUGGUAAUGUUGAGGUUCUAACUCUGUCCCGUGAUCCGGGACGAGGACCGUGUCUGGUGGGUAGUUUGACUGGGGCGGUCUCCUCCUAAAGAGUAACGGAGGAGUACGAAGGUGCGCUCAGCGUGGUCGGAAAUCACGCGUAGAGUAUAAAGGCAAAAGCGCGCUUAACUGCGAGACCCACAAGUCGAGCAGGUACGAAAGUAGGUCUUAGUGAUCCGGUGGUUCUGUAUGGAAGGGCCAUCGCUCAACGGAUAAAAGGUACUCUGGGGAUAACAGGCUGAUACCGCCCAAGAGUUCAUAUCGACGGCGGUGUUUGGCACCUCGAUGUCGGCUCAUCUCAUCCUGGGGCUGAAGCAGGUCCCAAGGGUAUGGCUGUUCGCCAUUUAAAGAGGUACGCGAGCUGGGUUUAGAACGUCGUGAGACAGUUCGGUCCCUAUCUACCGUGGGCGCUGGAAAUUUGAGAGGAUCUGCUCCUAGUACGAGAGGACCAGAGUGGACGAACCUCUGGUGUACCGGUUGUGACGCCAGUCGCAUCGCCGGGUAGCUAUGUUCGGAAGGGAUAACCGCUGAAAGCAUCUAAGCGGGAAGCCUACCUCAAGAUAAGAUUUCCCUAGGACUUUAUGUCCUCUAAAGAGCCGUUCGAGACUAGGACGUUGAUAGGUUGGAUGUGGAAGCAUAGUGAUAUGUGAAGCUGACCAAUACUAAUUGCUCGUGAGGCUUGACUAU
rnacentral:rRNA from 1 species